rnacentral:rRNA from 1 species
UACGAAGGGGGCUAGCGUUGCUCGGAAUCACUGGGCGUAAAGGGUGCGUAGGCGGGUCUUUAAGUCAGGGGUGAAAUCCUGGAGCUCAACUCCAGAACUGCCUUUGAUACUGAGGAUCUUGAGUUCGGGAGAGGUGAGUGGAACUGCGAGUGUAGAGGUGAAAUUCGUAGAUAUUCGCAAGAACACCAGUGGCGAAGGCGGCUCACUGGCCCGAUACUGACGCUGAGGCACGAAAGCGUGGGGAGCAACAGA